rnacentral:rRNA from 1 species
ACGGGAGGCAGCAGUGGGGAAUAUUGGGCAAUGGGGGAAACCCUGACCCAGCAACGCCGCGUGAAGGAAGAAGGCCCUCGGGUUGUAAACUUCUUUUACCAGGGACGAAUAAAAUGACGGUACCUGGAGAAAAAGCAACGGCUAACUACGUGCCAGCAGCCGCGGUAAUACGUAGGUUGCAAGCGUUGUCCGGAUUUACUGGGUGUAAAGGGCGUGUAGGCGGAGCUGCAAGUCAGAUGUGAAAUCCCGGGGCUCAACCCCGGAACUGCAUUUGAAACUGUAGCCCUUGAGUAUCGGAGAGGCAAGCGGAAUUCCUAGUGUAGCGGUGAAAUGCGUAGAUAUAAGGAAGAACACCAGUGGCGAAGGCGAUCUACUGGACAGUAACUGACGCUGAGGCGCGAAAGCGUGGGGAGCAAACAGGAUUAGAUACCCUGGUA